GAAACAGCACUCUAUUGAUCUUGGCUUAUUUAUUUAUAAACUAGGAAAGCAGUUGAACAGCUAUGUGAGAAGCCUACUUUCUCUUCAUGUAACACGUUGGCCUAAGAGAUCUAUAGAGCUUUUUAAAAACAAAGAAGGCAGCAAGAUUUAAAAUAAUAAAACCAAAAAAUCACCCAGGAGGCGGCGUGGAGAAUGGAUUGGAGAAGGGCGAACAUUCAGUCAGAGACUUUGUGAGCUUACUGUAAAUUAGAGGGAGCAAAUUGGAGGAGAAAUGACAAAAGAAACAGAAAAAAUGUUUAAUCAGACAAAGGAACUAAAAAACCUCAGUCUUAAUUAGAAGAUGGUCAAACAAAUCUCUUAACUGAUGUUCACAAUGAUGGUUUCAAGUCAUCUAAGGAAUGGGAGAAAAUACAACUGGUGAAUUGCAAAGAUAUUAAGAAAUUUUUUCAUGACCUCCAAAGAAUAAAAUUAUAAAACUUAUUCUUACCUUUUUGUUUCCUGUAAACGUGUGGUAUAUUCCCCUUGUCCCUCACGACAAACUUCUCUAUGAUUUCCUCAAUGGUUAAGGCCCCAAAUGAUACAUUAAAAAAUAUACAUUUGUUUUAUAUUUUCAAAGUAUUCUUAAUCUUUAAUUAGGAACUACACUGAAACUCUGUUGUCAAUGCCCCUACGAAGACUGAAAGAGAUGUGAUGGUUUUAAGACUGGUGCCUAUGGUCAAAAGAAUAUACUGACUGCUUCCAAAUGUCUAUAAAUAAAUUAUGGUUUCUUAAA